UACGUAGGGGGCUAGCGUUGUCCGGAAUCAUUGGGCGUAAAGCGCGCGUAGGCGGCCCGGUAAGUCCGCUGUGAAAGUCAAAGGCUCAACCUUUGAAUGUCAGCGGAUACUGCCGGGCUAGAGUCCGGAAGAGGCGAGUGGAACUCCUGGUGUAGCGGUGGAAUGCGCAGAUAUCGGGAGGAACACCAAUGGCGAAGGCAGCUCGCUGGGACGGUACUGACGCUGAGACGCGAAAGCGUGGGGAGCAAACAGG
rnacentral:rRNA from 1 species